UUUGAUGCGUGAGCACGAUUCUCUCUCUCCCGUUCCUCUCGUUCUGUGCCUUAUUUUCGCUCACACUGUGUGACAUCUUUCUGCAUCUCUCUCAGUGCUCCGUUCCAGACGUCAUCGUAAUCCAGUCAAUCAGUCAGUCAGUCAGUCAGUAGAUGAGAGUCGUUCGUGACCGUUGCUGCGAUUGAUCGCUCCUUCCAUAUUUUCGCGACUGGUUUCCGUGGUGGUUCAUACAUUCUGUCGAUUCUAUCCUUCUUGUUGGUGCAUCGGUGAAUAGUAUCGGUUUUUCGAAACCAUUGCGGGAAAAGUUUCCGGUGAUUGAAUGCGCACGGGUUGCGCCGCCAUCUAUCGCGUUAAUCGUGGUAUCGUCGUCUUCGUUCUUCGUCUGAAGAAAAAAACACAACAAAUAAACCCAUUCAGUCCAUCCAGCAGAACAAGCGCGUGGUGAGACAAAACGCCGCUAGUCGCACGCCACCAGUGGUGACUUCGCGUGAUACGCCUCCAUCCGGCGCGACACGCACGCAGUCCGUAAAGCAGAGAGAAGUGACAACCCGAAGAGAACAAUAAUCGCGCAUAUUGCGUGCGUUUUGGUUUUGGUGCGGCCACUGCGGCGAGUGAUUUCAUUCAUCGAGAGCGAAACAGGUCGCUCCGCCGCGACCAGAAGAGCGACGUCACUAUACACAACACAAGAGAAGUGGCGACGGGUGCUGCUACUGGCUGAGUUGAGUGAGCGAAUCGAGGCGUGAAGCACAGUUCGAAAUCCGUGUGCACAGUUCCGUUCAAAGUGUGCUGCCGACAAGUAGUAAUACACGGUAGAGUGAGUGAGCUGUGUGCUGCAAGCCAAAAGCUGUGAAAAGUGAAAGAAGGCAAGCCGAAGCAAGCAAACGCACGGGCAACGGGGCAAGAAAAAAAGUGAAGUGAUCAGGAAAAUAUCGCCGCUAGAUGCAGUGAUGCUGCGCCUUGCAGAAUCCUAGUGAGAAAAAUCGCCACCGGAGACGGUGUUUGAAGUGUGAAAAUUAAAGUGCCAGAACGGUGCUCGGUGGAGAAAUUUUGGGUGUACCACACCCCGAAAAAAGCAAAGAUUUAGAAGUGCUGAGUAAGUGGGAAAAAAUUCUGGUGAAGUGUUUCAUGGCAACGCAGUUUCGUGCGUGAAGAAUUUGGUGAAUUGACUCCGACGGUAUCGAUUGAAAACCCGUAGAGGAACUCGUCUUCGUCAUCUCCUGCGUCUUCGGUAUUGGGAGCCAUUUGGAACCAUAUCGCUGGUUAACUGACCCGCCUGCCGACUGCUAAUGGGUUCCCGUUAAUCGCGCAUCAAAGAGAGCAGUUCCCGAGCAGAAUCAACCAAAUCUCGCGAGCAUUAACUCGGUCUUCUGAAUCCAAUCAAUUCAUUGCGCAACCAUCGAACCGGAGCAAAUUCCCUCAAGGCACCAUUAUAUUGCAUCAUUACGCGAGCUGAAAUCGUCGUACAAGCCAGAGAAGAAAAAAAAAAGUCGAAAGUGACCAUCAACAGCGCCAGAUCCAAUCCCAAGCCCCAAUCUAAUCCAGGUCCCGAGCUCACUCGAACUCACGUUAUGCCGAUACCAUACGGCUCGAACAGAAGCCGCGGAAUCAUCAGCACCAGUAGCAGCAGCAGCAGUAGCUAAAUCAUCCAGCUCGAAGACGGGGUCUUUGAAGACACCACCAGAGAAGUGCAAAAGUGAAGUGCGUUCCGUUUGGGGGGCGUUGUCGUGCGCGAAUUGUGUGUGCCAGUGCCAGUGCAGUGAAAUAUCGGCGAAACGGCGCCACCAGUUGUGGGGCGGAAAUCGGCUUCAUUGAUUCGGUGCACGCGGUUGAAAGUGAAAUCAUUUCGGGUAAACCCCGCCGCCGCCAAAAGGAGCACGAGAGUGAAUGAUCCCAUACAUUUGCAGUGCAGCAGCACUUUGUUGAGUGGUGUUUUAAUUGAAUACAUCGGCGGGUGUGCUUUUGCGCUCGAGAUUGUGUGGUGAAUUGCCCCGGAGGGGAAGAGAAUCGAGAAUAUCUUUCGGUGGGUUUGAAGAGCCGCGCGUGAAGAGCUAGCGAAUGUUUAUCCAUUCCAUCAGCAAGUGAAGAUUACACGGUGAUACACUCUUGGAAGAACUUCCCAUGUGGCUCAGUGUUAUCUACAGCGCAGCAUCAGAAGCCCCAAGCGGUGAAGAUUAGAGCCAAUUGAACGCGAGUUUGUGCGCGCGUGUUCCAAGAAUUUGUAUUUUGCUGAGAGAAGAACCGCGUGUGUCGGUUACCGAAUGUGAUUUCCAGCUGAUUGCCAUCAUCACUUAACGACGAAUACGGCGCGGCGCGACGAUAUGAUCAUCAUCAGUGUAUCUUCAUCAUCUCCUUAAAUGCCUGCCUUGAAUAGCAGCUGGCCACCACCACCGCAGCAGCACUACUGCUCGCCGAAAGGGGAAAGAAAACAAACAGCCCACUCACUUAAGAGAGUAAUCGACUGCUGCUGAUUCGAUUACCUACCACCUACACGGUGCAGUGCAAGGCGAGAGGAAAUCUCUACAGAGGGGAACACGGGUGGCGGACGUACUGACAUCCAAACCAAACAUACACACCGGACGGGAACACCAGCACCAGCAGCACCACCGGUGAACAGCGACUGCUGCGGCGGCUAAUUUGGACCAGUUUCUUCUUUUCGGUUUAACGCGAGAAAUCGCUGGCGGAAUUUUUCGUGGGUGCGAUUCUGUCAACAAAAGGCCGCCAACCUGGAACUAAUGGAAUUAGAGAACAUCGUGGCCAACACGGUCUACCUGAAGGCGCGCGAAGGUAUGCUUGAAAUCAUCUAUUUAUUGGAAAUUUUGGAUAACUGUUUUGGGUAAAAAUAGGUAAGCUUGUAGGCUGAUGAAACUUGAUUCCCAGUGAAGAAGUGUGAAAAUUAAGUGAAUUUUAAAAUGUAGUGAGCUGCUUGGAAUGUGUCUGAAGAGUGGAAUCAUAAGAGCUUGACUAAUCAACACCCUGGUUACCAAGAUGUUGUUUAGAUCCAAUCAACUAUUGAAGAAUUUAGUAUUCUUCAUUACGCCAAUCAACCGAGCCUUGAAAAUGUAAAUGCUCAAGUCACUAGACAGAUCACUAGCAAGAUAAAGACAAAAAAACCUCUACAUUACCGACCUUGUUGCCGUCCUCUUUUUGCUCACACUACAUCAUUACAUCCAUCAAGAGACCUGAGGACCAAACGAACUCCUGGA